UGGUCGUUUUUUUAGCAUUGUGAACUAAUGAGGAAGAUUGUUAUAAAGUUUAAUUAAAAGCUGUCCAGAUGACAUUUUGACCGAUAGGUAUGCUAAUAGUUAAGAAAAGCGAGCUUAAAGUUUAAAAGAAAACUACGAUACAACAUAAUAUUCAUUUUUAUCGCAGAGAACAAAAAAAUGCUUAGACACUUAAUAAAAAAGUAUGAUUUCUCUUUCCUUUUCUGGUUUCUGACAAUAAAAACUGAUGAUAUAUUGCCACUUAAUGUACUCUGUACUACGUUAAGAUACAGAGGUAAAAAUAUAGCAUUAAUUCAACCUUCAAUGUGGGAAAAUAAACUUAUGCACUGGUCACUCAGUAUUCUGGCUCCUGUCAAAAAGCUGUCAGUGAUCCUUGUAUGUUUUUAUAGCUGGCUGGGUAGGUAUUCAAUUCACCCACACUAUCACAAGUUGCGAAGCGCCAAAGCAACUUCAUGCCAAGUUGUGCUGUGCCUUUUAGUGCUCUUAUUUUAUUUACCUGUUCCGUUUGGACUCAUUGGAGAUCAAGCAAAGAGUAUAGUAAUACAGUAUGGAGAUCAAGUAACAGAGGUUAUACCAGUUCAAUAUGUUAAAUUUUAACUAAACGUGUUGUUGUGGUGAACAAACAGACAAGUUUCCAGUUAUGUUGACUGUCAAUGUAUAAAUAAAUUAAUCCUCAAUAUUUUACUUAUAUUUAAAAGUAAGAUAAAGUUAACAUAAACUAUUAUGAUCUGAUAAAAAUUUAUCUGAAGCAAACUAGCAAAAAAAAAUAUAAAAAGAAAAAUGGCGGAAAAACCAGAGCCACCAGUCAUUACUACUCAACCCAUAAACAACCCUGAAGCACUUGCUUCUGAUAACGAGCUUCAUGAGUUAAUCAAACAACAGAAUGCGGACAUGUCUCAAAAAGACCCAAACAAAUUACUAGAACAAGAAGAAGUACAGAAGAAGGCAAGAGAAGACUGCUGUCAUGGUGAGGACUUCUCAAACUGUAUAGAUAUGUGUAUUGAGGCUAUAAGAUGCACUGUUUUGCAUAAUUGUUUCACGGUACCCUGGUGUAAUAACGGAUGUUGUGAUGAUGGUUGCUGUCACGCUGGUUGUGGUGAUGAGUGCUGUUGUGACGGCGAGUGUUGUACCGGAUGCUGUGAGGCCUGUUGUGAUGAUGGCUGUGCCAAUUGUCUCGAAGCCUGCUUCUCUUGCGGCGUGUGUGUUGAUGUUUAGUCAUUAUCAAUAGAAAAUUGAAGCUAGCUGUAUUUGUUAAUUUUGCGCUUCCAUGACAGUUUUAUAUGCUACUUAUAUUUUCUAAAGGUUUUAUUAUUGUGCUAAGGAUGAAGUUUAUUGUGUGUUUUUGCACUUAUUUUGUAUGAAUUAUAUUAUAUGGCUGUUAUAAAUUCAGACUAAUUGAAGUGCUUAUUAGUGUAAGGGAAAGUAAAUGACAACAUUUUCCAAAUUUUCUUGGGAGGAUGAGUUUAAUUCGAAUGCUUUUAAUUGAAUCUCUGUCCAUGUUUGUACUGUAAACAACAAUUUAGUUAUAUUUUUAUUUUUGUUAGAUUGUUUUUAUUCGAAAUUCAAUAUUUAACAUAUUGUAAAGGUUAUUUUUUUUAAUAAUUGUAUUUAUGCUAAUCAUAAUUAUAAAGAUUAUUAUAGAACUGAUAACUGUGCCAACUGUUGUUGUACUGAUAAGUAUGAUGAACAAUUACUAUAAUAAUAUUAUAUUAGAAAUAAGGGAAAUGCUUUUAUUUCAUAUAUUAAAGUUUAUCAAUGUUUGAUGUUACCUGCAUUACAAAUGCAACUGAUUUAUAACUAA